CAUGCCAAUUUUGGUCCCAGCAAGUCUUUUACCCAGGCUUUUAACCAUUAUUUUAUCUUUAAAUGAAGCAAAUUUGGCAACGAUUGGGCGUUCGUACCUCUGCCCUCUCUGUCCGAGGCGGUGUACACGUUCAAGUUGGAUCUUAUCGAUAACUUCGCGUGGAAUCUGAAGCGCUGCAAAAAGGAACUCUCUAACUACAGAUUCAGGAACCUCUCCUUCUUUCUCUUGGAUACCUAGCUUGACCUCAGAGGACGGUGGAGAUGAGGACAGACUGGCUGAGAGGAGAAGAGGUUGGGUAUAUACUAGGACUACCAGCAGGAGCUGCAAAACCUGAGCCCUAGGACCAUACGUCAGGACUACCGGGCAUGCUGACACCUUGCUGUCCCCAGUCCGCCCGGCCUUGCUGCUAUUCCAGUUUCAACUGUUUCUGCCUGCGGUUACGAAACCCCUACCUGUCCCAGACCUGCUGUUUUCAACUCUUAAUGAUCGGCUAUGAAAAGCCAACUGAGAUUUAUUCCUGAUUAUUAUUUGACCAUGCUUGUCAUUUAUGAACAUUUUGAAAAUCUUGGCUCUCUCUAAUUUUCUCCUUCUCUCUUUCUUUCUCUCGGAGGACCUGAGCCCUAGGACCAUACGUCGGGACUACCGGCCGUGGUGACUCCUUGCUGCCCUCAGUCCGCCUGGCCUUGCUGCUAUUCCAGUUUCAACUCUUCUGCCUGCGGUUAUGGAACCCCUACCUGUCCCAGACCUGCUGUUUUCAACUCUUAAUGAUCGGCUAUGAAAAGCCAACUGAGAUUUAUUCCUGAUUAUUAUUUGACCAUGCUUGUCAUUUAUGAACAUUUUGAAAAUCUUGGCUCUCUCUAAUUUUCUCCUUCUCUCUUUCUUUCUCUCUGAGGACCUUGGCCCUAGGACCAUGCGUCGGGACUGCCGCCCGUGGUGACUCCUUGCUGUCCCCAGUCCGCCUGGCCUUGCUGCUAUUCCAGUUUCAGCUGUUCUGCCUGCGGUUAUGGAACCGCCACCUGUCCCAGACCUGUUGUUUUUCAACUCUUAAUGAUCAGCUAUGAAAAGCCAACUGAAAAUUAUUCAUGAUUAUUAUUUGACCAUGCUUGUCACUUAUGAACAUUUUUGAACAUCUUGGCAUAGUUCUGUUAUAAUCUCCACCCGGCACAGCCAGAAGAGGACUGGCCACCCCUCAUAGCCUGGUUCCUCUCUAGGUUUCUUCCUAGGUUUUGGCCUUUCUAGGGAGUUUUUCCUAGCCACCGUGCUUCUACACCUGCAUUCUAGCUGUUUGGGGUUUUAGGCUGGGUUUCUGUACAGCACUUCGAGAUAUUAUCUGAUGUACGAAGGGCUAUAUAAAAUAAAAUUGAUUGAUUGAUUGAGAUAUUUUGAGCUCAUUUAGUACAUAUUGGAUUGCUACUGCUAGAGCUAGACACUGGUCUAUGGUCAGUUUGUAAUGAUUUCCCUUGAUGGUUAAUGUAAGGGUUUGGGGAAGGUUUGCAGAUCCUAAAUCAGUUCUUAGGGGGAACAUCUCAGGGGCAAUUUCUGGGAUUGCGAUACAUGGUAAGAGCUAGUCUCAGUAUUCACCACUGCAGAGCUACGCAAGGAGCAUAUCAGUGUGUGCAGUAGGUGUUUUUUCCUCUUAGUUCUCUGGCAUAUCGUGCCGUGGGUGAAUUAUUGGCCUUUUUUCCCCCUCCUUCACUUCAAGGUUAGCUGCCAGAUUGAAAUAGAUCACAGAGAUUGUGUUUGACAUAUUUUAGCAAUCUUUACAACUGCUGUCCAUUUGCCCUCAUGUGUUCUUGCCAAAGCCCCCUAAUUCACAGAACCCUUAACACAGAGGAAUUUUGCCUGCCCUUGCCUACAGUAGCUCGCACUGACACAACAGGGCAAUCCCAUGGUAACAGAAUUAUGCUAAUACUCCGAUUUCUAUCUUUAAAAUGAAUGCCAAACAAAAACCAUUGACUUCAAAGUUUAACAAGAUAGAACUCUAUGCAUAAUGAUUUCUUUUAACAAUUUACAUAGGACAUUUUAAAAAUAAACUUUUUCUGGAAAAACUGUGCAGAUGCCAUCUUUGGUAGCAGGAUUACGGUAAAAUCUCAACUUUACAUCUGCACAGUUCUUCCAGGAAAUGGGUUUUUGUAACAUCAUCAGUGGAAAUUGUUAAAAGUAGUACUUGUGGAUAUGAUUUCUUAAACUUUGAAAUCAAUGGUGUGAGUCUCAGCGUUAUUCUGUUACCAUGGAAUUGCCCAACAUCAAUUGAGCGGCUUGCAUACCCAUAACACAAACGUUCCUGCAUGAGGUCUGUACUGUGAGGUCUGUACUGUGAGGUCUGUACUGUGAGGUCUGUACUGUGAGGUCUGUACUGUGAGGUCUGUACUGUGAGGUCUGUACUGUGAGGUCUGUACUGUGAGGUCUGUACUGUGAGGUCUGUACUGUGAGGUCUGUACUGUGAGGUCUGUACUGUGAGGUUUAAAUUGCCUGAACUGCUUGAACCACUUGUAAAGUUAAAAUCAUUGACCACAAGAUGAAAACAACCAUGAUUAUUUUGAGCAUCAUGUGUAGAUAUAAACAAAACGGCUAACAGCAGAAUGAUGAAGACAAACACGCAAGUCAUAGGGCACAGACCCCAAAAAAAGACGUUUGCUUUUCCAAAAUGUUUUCUUCAUCAAACGCUGUGGUGUUGAACCUCUUCAUAUCUCCCCCCUCCUUUUUUUCAUUAUCUGUCCUUCUUUCCCUUUAUUAAGAAUCCAAUCUGUUAUUCACACCUAGAAUCUAUUUUAAACAUGUCUAGACCCGCUAGAAAUCAUUCUGGCCUCUAUUCGAGACCACCUAGAAUCCAUUCUAGCCUCUAUUCUAGAACACCUAGAAAUCAUUCUAGCCUCUAUUCUAGAACACAUAGAAAUCAUUCUGGCCUCUAUUCGAGAACACCUAGAAACCAUUCUAGCCUCUAUUCUAGAACACCUAGAAAUCCUUCUGGCCUCUAUUCUAGAACACACAUAAAUCCUUCUGGCAUCUAUUCUAGAACACCUAGAAAUCCUUCUGGCAUCUACUCUAGACCACAUACAAAUCAUUCUGGCCUCUAUUCUAGAAAUCAUUCUGCUCUCUUGUGUUUGCUCUCAGGCAUUCAUAUCUCUCAUUUGUGGGUACAUCAAGGGCAGAAGGAAGUGGACUGUUUUUGGCCAGUUGAUUGCAUGGUCACGGUCCCUGACUGAGAGCUCAUUCACCCUGCUCUCUCUGUCUGACUAUCAUAGAUAGUCACAUGUCAGGUCGGCCUCCUUCAAUUAGCACCAGCUAAGUAGGCUGCGAUGCACGAGGGGAGGCCCACAGUUUGUCUAUCUGGAAUGCACCCACAAACCAAUGUGGACCCACAAUUUCUACGGCGGCAUGUAGGGUUUAGAUAAGAAGAUGAUAUAUCAUGUUGAAGAAGUGGUUCUUAAGACGUUAAACACUUCUCCAGGCAAUGCGUAUGGGACGCACCCCAAAACACCACUAUUGUUGGUUACUAGCCUACCUUUCCAGAUAACCAAUCCACCUGGCAACAGGUGAUGCAUGCAAUACUCAACCAUUCUACUAAGGCAGAAGAGCACAUCUGGAAGCUCAUCUGGAACUUCAAUAUAGUGCAGAGAGAGAAUAGUAAAGCAAGCUCCAUGAUACUACUGACGAUACAGGGUGAGACCUGUGGAGUUACUUGACACAGAACAUGAUAUCUAUUAGGCUUAAAGAAAGAUGCUGAACGGAUACCUUCAUGCAGGGUUCUCCAACUCUGGUCCUGGAGAACUACUGGAAGUGCUGGCUUUUGUUCCAGCCCAGCACUAACACACAGGACCGGGGUUGGAGAACCCUGCCAUGGUCAAUGCUGCUGAUACUCUGAACAUCUAGGGAGCAAAAACAAAAAAAAGUAAAGUGUCUACUGAUUUACCUGAGCUUCUUUGUUGUGUUUUGGAUAUGAUGAUAGUUUUGUUUCAGAGCUUUGAAAUACUGUAAAUCAUUUAAUGCAAAAUACUAACCCCUCUGAAUUUCUAACUGAAAAAUGUUUGUAUUCUGAAUUGCCUACUAAAUAUGAACAGUUCCCUCUUCCAUUUUUUCAACACCACAAAAUAUUAUCGCCACAGAAAGUCACAGUUAUGGUAAGCAAAAAAAGAACGCCCUUUGAAGAUGAAAAUGGCCAGGCUUUCAUGUAUUUUCAUAUUAGAUGCACAAUCUUAUAUUCUACAUGUAUUACAAUCAAGAAGAUAACUGUAUCAGCAUCCUCUAACAGCGGUUAGAUGGCACGCGCUGCCACAUGCUCAAAGCUCCUACUCAGUGUUGCACGGAGU